rnacentral:rRNA from 1 species
CAGUCGCCGCGGUAAUACGUAGGGUGCGAGCGUUAAUCGGAAUUACUGGGCGUAAAGCGUGCGCAGGCGGUUUUGUAAGACAGGCGUGAAAUCCCCGGGCUCAACCUGGGAAUGGCGCUUGUGACUGCAAAGCUAGAGUGCGGCAGAGGGGGAUGGAAUUCCGCGUGUAGCAGUGAAAUGCGUAGAGAUGUGGAGGAACACCGAUGGCGAAGGCAGCCCCCUGGGCCAAUACUGACGCUCACGCACGAAAGCGUGGGGAACAAACAGGAUUAGAUACCCCCGUAGUCCCUGUCUCUUAUAC